AACGAACGCUGGCGGCAGGCUUAACACAUGCAAGUCGAGCGAGACCUUCGGGUCUAGCGGCGGACGGGUGAGUAACGCGUGGGAACGUGCCCUUCUCUACGGAAUAGCCCCGGGAAACUGGGAGUAAUACCGUAUACGCCCUUUGGGGGAAAGAUUUAUCGGAGAAGGAUCGGCCCGCGUUGGAUUAGGUAGUUGGUGGGGUAAUGGCCCACCAAGCCGACGAUCCAUAGCUGGUUUGAGAGGAUGAUCAGCCACACUGGGACUGAGACACGGCCCAGACUCCUACGGGAGGCAGCAGUGGGGAAUCUUAGACAAUGGGGGCAACCCUGAUCUAGCCAUGCCGCGUGAGUGAUGAAGGCCUUAGGGUUGUAAAGCUCUUUCAGCUGGGAAGAUAAUGACGUACCAGCAGAAGAGC
rnacentral:rRNA from 1 species